rnacentral:tRNA from 1 species
GGGCGAUUAGCUCAGAUGGUUAGAGCAUCCGCUUCACAUGCGGGGGGUCUCAGGUUCAAUUCCUGAAUCGCCCA